UACCCUGUAGAUCGGAAUUUGU
rnacentral:miRNA from 1 species